UCAAUACUCCCUCCGUCCGGAAAAAGCUUGUCCCAAGCUUGUCCCUCAAAUGGAUGUAUCUAGCACUAACUUGGCGCUAGAUACAUCCAUUUGAGGGACAAGCUUUUUCGGACGGAGGGAGUACAAA
rfam:Triticum aestivum genome assembly, contig: Triticum_aestivum_CS42_TGACv1_scaffold_161717_2DL